GUCUUCUUCAGGUGUAUAUAUGCUAAAAUUGGAAUGAUACACAGUUGAGAAGUAUUGCUCCUUUGCAAGUGUGACGUGCAAAUUCAUGAAGCAUUCCAUAUUAUC